GACAACCCGAGGAAACUCGGGCUAAUACCGGAUGAUGUGCACACAUGUAAGUGUGUUCACUAAAGGAAGCUUCGGCCUCCGCAUCGGGAGGAGCUCGCGGCCCAUUAGCUUGUUGGUGGGGUAACGGCCCACCAAGGCGACGAUGGGUAGCUGGUCUGAGAGGACGAUCAGCCACACUGGGACUGAGACACGGCCCAGACUCCUACGGGAGGCAGCAGUGGGGAAUCUUGCGCAAUGCGCGAAAGCGUGACGCAGCAACGCCGCGUGAGGNAAGACGGCCUUCGGGUUGUAAACCUCUUUCAGGAGGGACGAAGGUUCACCGGUGAACAGCCGUGUGGAUUGACGGUACCUCCAGAAGANGCCCCGGCUAACUACGUGCCAGCAGCCGCG
rnacentral:rRNA from 1 species